GAAGUCUGAAAGCUGAGAAAUUGAAGUUGAGGCGUUUCCUAAUGGAGGAGCUGGAGAAGCUACCAAAAAUUUUAGUGCGGAGUGUUUGUCGGGAUCAGGUUCAUUGGGCAAUGUCUAUAACGGAACAUUUGACAGUGAAAGUACAUUAGCAAUCAAGAGAGCUCGCACGAAAUCGUACCAGUGUUGAAGAAUUUAGAAAUGGAAGAGGUGGCAAUUGGAAUUUGGAGCUGCUAAUGGAAUAGCUCACUUGCAUGAUGGGAUUAAGCCAAUCAUAAUCCACCGAGAUAUUAAACCUUCAUAUUGUGCAAGUUUCCAUUUGAGUCCCUUUAGUGAUGCUUAUAGCUUUGGUGUUAUACUUUCUGCAACUUAUUGUUGCCUGGCAGGCUGUGGAUUCCGCUGGAAGUCACCCUUAUUAUCAUACCAUUGACUGGGCAAGGCCGAGUAUGGAAAAGGGCAACAUUGAAGAAAUUCUUAAUACUACUCUUUUAUCCGGAGCUUGCAACAUGGAAAUGAUGCAGACAAUGGGUGAACUUGGUCUAUGAUGUGUGGCAAAAACGCCUAAAAACCGUCCUAUAACGACUCAGGCCUGGCAAGAACUGAAAAAUACACUUUAUCAACUCGAUCAACGAACACUCAUUGAGAAGUU